rnacentral:rRNA from 1 species
CUGGCGGCACGCCUAACACAUGCAAGUCGAACGAAGUAGCAAUACUUAGUGGCAGACGGGUGAGUAACAUGUGGGUAUCUGCCCUUUGGCCUGGAAUAACACGAGGAAACUUGUGCUAAUACCGGAUAAGUCUUUACGGAGAAAGCUUUAUGCACCAUUGGAUGAGCCCGCACUUGAUUAGUUAGUUGGUAGGGUAAUGGCCUACCAAGACUUUGAUCAAUAGCUGAUUUGAGAGGAUGAUCAGCCACAUUGGGACUGAGACACGGCCCAAACUCCUACGGGAGGCAGCAGUGGGGAAUCUUGCACAAUGGAGGAAACUCUGAUGCAGCGAUGCCGCGUGAGUGAAGAAGGCCCUUGGGUUGUAAAGCUCUUUCGUCGGGGAAGAAAAUGACUGUACCCGAAUAAGAAGGUCCGGCUAACUUCGUGCCAGCAGCCGCGGUAAUACGAAGGGACCUAGCGUAGUUCGGAAUUACUGGGCUUAAAGAGUUCGUAGGUGGUUGAAAAAGUUGGUGGUGAAAUCCCAGAGCUUAACUCUGGAACUGCCAUCAAAACUUUUCAGCUAGAGUAU